CUAAUAGAGGAUUGGGGAAGCACUCGUCUCCUUCCUCAAGCGUGCCAGCAAAAUGGUCAUUAGGUACAACAACGUUGAUGUCCAUGCUGCCAACGGGAAUGGGAUCGCCAUUGGCAAGGCACCUGAUCGUCCUAAGAUCACUCAUGCCAGAGAGGGAACUGGCGAUCCUGUAGGGCAAGUUAGAGUUGUUUUUGGCGUGCAUGAGAGGAAGACCAUCCUCUCUGUCGGCUGGAUCCUGGCGCUCAUUUGUGAUCAUUGCCACGGUUUCAUCGGCCAG